rnacentral:rRNA from 1 species
AUUGAACGCUGGCGGAAUGCUUUACACAUGCAAGUCGAACGGCAGCACGGACUUCGGUCUGGUGGCGAGUGGCGAACGGGUGAGUAAUGUAUCGGAACGUGCCCAGUCGUGGGGGAUAACGUAGUGAAAAUUACGCUAAUACCGCAUACGAUCUAUGGAUGAAAGCGGGGGAUCGCAAGACCUCGCGCGAUUGGAGCGGCCGAUCGCAGAUUAGGUAGUUGGUGGGGUAAAGGCCCACCAAGCCAAAGAUCUGUAGCCGGUCUGAGAGGACGACCAGCCACACGGGAACUGAGACACGGUCCAGACUCCUACGGGAGGCAGCAGUGGGGAAUUUUGGACAAUGGGCGAAGGCCUGAUCCAGCCAUUCCGCGUGCAGGAUGAAGGCCCUCGGGUUGUAAACUGCUUUUGUACAGAACGAAAAGGUUUCUACUAAUACUAGGAGCUCAUGACGGUACUGUAAGAAUAAGCACCGGCUAACUACGUGCCAGCUGCCGCCGUAA